CUAUCCUGAAACAGGCACAAGAACCCACAUCACAGCCUCAGCGUCCAGGCGCAGGGUGAAGGCUCGGAUCUCGAAGGGAAGAACUUGCCCCCGGCGGGAACACGGUGUCGGUGAGGGCGCUGGCCCGAAGCCUGGUGUCCACCAAAGCAGAAUGGACUUUGAAAGUUAAGGGAGAAACAGUCUUGGACCACGUGGUGUUCUGAUUCGGCCGUGUUGACGGCCAGGUGAAGACACACCGAUCCCCCUUCUCCCUCUGGGAUCUGGCAGUGCUCCACCAGGACCGGAGGCCACCUUAAUGCCCGAUCCAGGGCCAAGUGAAGUCCUGCAGCAGCUGCUGCUUGUCUGCCAGCUCUCCCUGGGGUCGUAGAGCCGCCACCUCGGCAGGCUCUGAUCCCCAGUGACAGAAGCCUCUGGCCAGCACUUCCAGGAUCCAGCUCCAGCCGAACCACCCAAGCUAUACUCGUAUCUCCUGGUGAGUACUGACAAAAAGGGGAGGGAGACGUUGGAAUUAAGCAGAAACUGCGCUCUGCCAGAGAGCCGGAGGGAACGAAAGAGAACAGACAGAGAUUUGCAAUGCUAGCUGCUGCUCUGGAAAAGUCUAUCUCGGGCCCUCCUGAAAACCUCCUCUGCUCCAGGGACAGGACAGUCCUUCAACCGGUCCCAACGGAGGCCCCGGGCCCCGUUACAGCCAAACCAGUGUGCCUGGUGCCAAGCUUUUGGCCACUGGAAGAAUGAAUGCACUAAGGCAAGGAAGGAAGAGGAAGCUCCCACAGUUGUGGGGCUUGCUGGCUUGGAAAUUAAAUAGGGCUGCCGGGGUUCAGAGAUAGCAGGUCCCCGAGAGCCCAUGAUAACCUUAAAAGUGGGGGACCAAAACAUUGACUUCAUGGUGGAUACAGGAACAGAACUGUUGGUAGUAAAACCUGUGGCACCAUUGUCCAAAAAGACUACCGCUGUAACUGGGGAAUCGGGAGAAGACAUGAUUAAAUCGUUUGGCCAGCCCAGAAAAUGUCAGAUGGGGAGGCACCAAGUGAUUCAUGAAUUCCUCUACAUUCCUGAGUGCCCAGUACCCCUGUUGGGAAGAGACUUGCUUUCCAAACUAGGAGCACAGGUGACUUUCUACCCUGAGGAGAGGCCCACCUUCCAGAUGGAAACUAUGACUUAUUUGCUCUCCCUCUCAAGACCCACCCAAAAUGAGUGGGUUGCAUGAGCCUCCGAAGGCAGAACCGGGUGGGCUGGAAGAGCAUGAGAGAGAGCUAACUCAAUUAUUCCCUGAGGUCUGGGCGGAAGACAACCCCCCCUCUCCCCAGGCUGGCUAAACAUCAAACCCCAGUGAUAAUAGAACUCAAACCAGGCACCAUCCCGGUUAGAAAGCUCCAGUACCCGCUACCGAUAGAGGCCUGGGCCGGCAUACUGCCCCACAUCAAUAGAUUGAAACAAGCGGGCAUUCUAAUAGAGUGCCAGUCGGCUUGGAAUACACCAAUCCCAUCAGUCAAAAAGGAAGAAGGACAGGACUAUAGGCCUGUACAGGAUCUCAGGCUAGUCAACCACGCUACUGUGACUUUACACCCCACUAUUCCAAACCCCUAUACCUUACUUAGCCUCCUCCCGCCGAGGACUAAAGUUUAUACUCGCCUAGAUCUCAAGGAUGCCUUCUUCUGCGUACGCCUCGCCCCAGCGUCACAGCCCAUCUUUGCCUUUUAAUAGGAAGAUCAAGUCGGGGGCACCAAGCAACAGCUCAUCUGGACUCCCCCACAAGAGUUUAAGAACUCCCCAGCCAUCUUUGGGGAAGCCUUGGCUUCUGACCUGAACUCAUUCCAUCUGGAAGAGUAUGGAUGUUGGCUCCUACAAUAUGGGGAUGACCUGCUGCUGGCUGCCGAGACCAAGGAAAAAUGCUGGAAAGGGACAAAAGCACUGCUCCAGCCGCUGAUGGAAGCAGGUUACCCGGUGUCAAAGAAGAAGGCACAGAUCUGCAAGGAGGAGGUAAGGUAUCUGGGGUUUGUUUUAAAGAAGGACACAAGGUUCCAGACCCUAAUUGAGUCCUAUAUACUGAUGGCACUAGCCUCAUAAAACAAGGACAACGGCUGUCAGGUUAGCCAAAGCGGAAGGGGCCAUCAAGACUGAAAAGGGAUAGUGGGAAUUGCCAAGUGGCAAAUUAUUGGUACCGGAGGAGCUGGCACACAAUCUGGUAAGCCAAACACACCAAGCGACCCACCUAGGCCAUGCUGCCUGCUCACAGGCUAAUGCUGCCUCUCGGGUAUUCAGACAAAAACCUCCAGGUAUUCAGCUGAAAGGCACGCUGCCCUUUGAACACCUGGGAGUGGACUUCACUGAAAUGAAACCUCAUCGACACUACCAUUACCUGCUGGUCAUGGUAUGUACAUUCUUGGGAUGGGUAGAAGCUUUUCCUACCUGGACUGAAAGAGCAUCAGAAGUAGCCCGGUGCCUGCUUAGGGAAAUAGUUCCCAGAUUUGGACUUCCUACCGGCACUGGUUCAGACAAUGGCCCAGCUUUUGUAGCUGAUUUGGUACAACAAGUAAGCAAAACUUAGAACAUCAAACGGAAACUGCACACUGCAUAUAGGCCCAGAGUUCUGAGAUGGUGGAAUGAACCAACCGGACAUUAAAGAGACUCUCCAAGUGGAUCAUAGAGACUGACUGCUCCUGGGUGGACUUGCUUCCGACGGUUCUGCUCAGACUCAGGAUGACCCCACAGUCCCAAGGCUAUUCUCCAUACGAAAUUGUGUAUGGGAGGCCCCCUCCCAUAAUAAAACAGAUGUCAACAAAUUUGCCUCAGGUAAGGGGGAAUAGGAUUUCACAGCAGAUG